UCAGGCUCAGAUUGAACGCUGGCGGCAUGCCUUACACAUGCAAGUCGAACGGCAGCAUAGGAGCUUGCUCCUGAUGGCGAGUGGCGAACGGGUGAGUAAUAUAUCGGAACGUGCCCUAGAGUGGGGGAUAACUAGUCGAAAGAUUAGCUAAUACCGCAUACGAUCUACGGAUGAAAGUGGGGGAUCGCAAGACCUCAUGCUCCUGGAGCGGCCGAUAUCUGAUUAGCUAGUUGGUGGGGUAAAAGCCUACCAAGGCGACGAUCAGUAGCUGGUCUGAGAGGACGACCAGCCACACUGGGACUGAGACACGGCCCAGACUCCUACGGGAGGCAGCAGUGGGGAAUUUUGGACAAUGGGGGCAACCCUGAUCCAGCAAUGCCGCGUGAGUGAAGAAGGCCUUCGGGUUGUAAAGCUCUUUUGUCAGGGAAGAAACGGUUUUGGCUAAUAUCCAGAACUAAUGACGGUAC
rnacentral:rRNA from 1 species